GGCAGUCCUUAUCUUGGUAUGGAUAAGAAUCACCUGAAGGUCUUGAUAUUCCAGAUACCUGGGUCACACUCCCGGUGACUCAGAUCCUGCUACUUGACCAGCUCCCUGGUGAUGAUGAUUCCUCAAGUGGGGUUAGCACCAUUCUCAGCCACACUGAACACAAAAGGAAACUGAGAGAUGAAGAAAGUGCAGACUUGGAUUCCAGUGUAUUUCCAGCUCUAGCCAGUCCUUAGAAGAGAUAAAUGAAGAUUUGUCCUCACAAAUAUGUGUAUCCAGCUGUUCUGUGAUGCAAAGUGCUGAGACUGAGCUAUGCAGCUGUGUGUGUCUACAGUGAAGGAUCACCUGGAUGUUUCAGUGAUGAUGGUGUGGAAGCUACAGUGAGUGAGGAAGAGCACAAGAACAUUCCCCGACACAGAGCAAGAAUUCACCCACUGGCAGACAAGGAAAGAGAAAUCCACACUUGAACCUCACGUUUUGAUGUAUUACUUAUGGAGUGUUCCUGUGACCUGUUAGCCACUGGAGUGUGUUCUCAGCAAAUGAUUAUAGACACCUAAUCCCUCACAUUUGACAACCUGUGUCGUAAGAGCCUUACCAUAUUUCAAUCCUGCAGAGGUGUUGCUCUGCAGAGGAGGGAGGGUCAUGAAGGAAAACGUCCCCAGCAUGUCUUCAGACUGUGUGUGAGGAAGUGGGAAGAGCCCAUAGCUGCACAUUGCCCAUUUUUCAGAGUGAAGAUUAAAGGUUUUGUUGUGUCUGUAUGGGCAUCUCCACAUCUGAUAAUAUACCAUAUGACUAUCUAACUUUCCUAUUUGCCUUAUUUGGCCUAAAUUGUUGCUUGGCUGAAGUGUUCAAUCCUAGUCCCUCAAACAUGCCUAUGUUACCAUGUCCCUUUCUCUUGCCUUUGUCAAAGCUUAACAUAUUCUCAAGAAAGGGAUCAGAAUGUCUGGGACUCUAUAUUUUACCUAUACUGAGUGGCAGUUAUAACUCAUUACCAUACUCACACUCUUCUGUCUGAAAGACAGGCCUGCUUUUCUUAGUUAUAAAAUUUGUCCCAUUUUUUUGAUCUCCAAGUCUAGUGGAUGAGCUAUCUCAACUGUGCAUAGAGUAUUUGGCUAUGCUGGCUCCUAACAAGAUGCCAAGUGGUUCACUUGCUUUAUUACUCUUUCCAAAUUGAACAGCCAGCUCAGAGAGAUACACUGUGGCAUCUGCGGAGUGGACAAAAAUAGACAAUCAGUAAUUAGUUAAUAGACAACAAUUUUAGAAAUAAGAAACAAAAACUGAACAUUUUACAUGUGUUUAGAGUCCAACAUUUCUCCAUUUAGCUAAUUUACAUUGAGUCUCUGAUUUUUAUGAAGAUACUAUCUAAGUAUUUAUAAAUUAAGAGGAGGCCUAGUCCAUCAAAACUUUAUAGGCCUCCAUGGGCAGACCAUUGUUACUGAGUG
rnacentral:lncRNA from 1 species